GGGCAUGAGGGCAAUCUGUCACAUCACUGAUCACUAGGAAUGAUUAGGCUGAUUAGGCAUAAACCAGGUGGGUGUCUUCUUCAGCCCUUAAUGUUCUAUGUAUGUCCCUUCUGAAGCUGUGUGCUUGGUGAAGAGGACAACCAUUCCAAACAGGAUUCUGCCAUUCUUCGGUCAAGGGCAUAUGAUAUUCAUGAGCAAAACCUUUUGCCUAUGUGAUGGCAAUA
rnacentral:snRNA from 1 species